CUCUGCUCCCGACGUCGCUACCGCAGUUCCGAAGCAGCAGGAAGAGAUGCGGCCCCUGGACAUCGUCGAGCUGGCCGAGCCAGAGGAAGUGGAGGUGCUGGAACCUGCGGAAGACUUCCAGCAGUUUCUGCUGCCCGUCAUCAACUAGACGAGCCAAGACAUCACCUCUCUCACCCGCGAGCACGGGAGGGCGUACAUGCGGAACAGGAGCAAGUUGUGGGAGAUAGACAAUAUGCUCAUCCAGAUAAAAACGCAGGUGGAGGCCUCAGAGGAGAGCGCCCUGAAUCAUCUUCAGAACCCAAACGAUGGAGUGGAGGGCAGGGCGACAAAGAGGUGCGAGAAGGCCGAGGAGAAGGUGAAGGAGAUCGCGAAGAUGGCAGAGAUGUUGGUGGAGCUGGUCCGGCGGAUAGAGAAGAGCGAAUCGUCGUGAAGCGGACUUGGCGGUAUACAGCCAAUGGAUUCUGGUCAACUGAUGGAGAUUGGCUGACACCCUGGAGAAGCUGUAACCAGAGAGCCUUUUGUUUUCUCUUUUUUUCCUCUGUCUACACUCUGUCCUUCACUUACACUACGUUUCUUCUAUGGUCUGUGGUUGAUGACCUCAAUAUGAGUUUUUGAUUGUUAAAUAUUUUUGUCUGGGGAAGUAACUUUUGUUUGGGAAAUGCUCUCACAUGCAGGAAUUAGGGCCUAGAUUGUAAGCUCUUGCAGCAGUCACAUUUGUUCCUUGGCUUUGGUUGUUAUUUCUAAAUUUUGAGGUGCUUUGCUCUUUCUUGUGUGACCUGAUAGCUCCCUGGAACUUUGGGUCUGCGUGUGACACACGGGACUCAGAGUUGGAGUUCUCCAGCUCUGGAGGUGCUGAAGGAACUCCGUUAAUUCUAGAAGACAACCCCAUGCAGCAGCUGCUGAAGAAAGGACCAGAUUUCGACUGGAAAUGUGGAUGGGGCUGAUCUGGCUAAGCCUGAUGAACCUGGAGAAGGGGUGGAGAAUAGUAUUGUCUGUAUUUGGGGACUUUAAUUUCUGUGUGAGACCAAAGGAGGAGAGAUGUAUUUUGUUCAAAAUUUAAAUUCUAUGUAGUACACUAUCUGAUAUAAUUGUCUGGUGAGUUUAUUUGGACAACCUAACUCAUCAUUAUCUGACUUGGAACUUAGAAUGGGGAAUGUAAUCUUGAUAUUCUGUACUAAUUGAUGUAAUACCCUGAUGCAUUUCAAGGGAUCCUAGGCAUAAAAUGGAAGAGAUGUUUGCAAAAGACCUUGAGGGGAUAGGAGAGGAAAGCAUGGAAUUUUCUGCAUUGGACCCUAAAUUGGACUGGUAAGAGGCAUCUUUAAGGUUCAUAUGUUGUCUAGCUAUAAGUUCAUUUGAGUAGCAGACCUGACAAGUAUUUGAGGUCAAAACCCUACCAUGUUUAAAAAAAAAAAACUUACAAUGUUAAUAAAAGUAUACAUUUGCUUGAAAA